UACGAAGGGGGCUAGCGUUGUUCGGAAUCACUGGGCGUAAAGGGCGCGUAGGCGGCAAGGCAAGUCGGGUGUGAAAGCUUGGGGCUUAACCCCGAAAGGGCACUCGAAACUGCGUUGCUAGAGGGCCGGAGAGGAGAUCGGAAUUCACGGUGUAGCAGUGAAAUGCGUAGAGCUCGUGAGGAAGACCGGUGGCGAAGGCGGAUCUCUGGACGGCCCCUGACGCUGAGGCGCGAAGGCUAGGGGAGCAAACGGG
rnacentral:rRNA from 1 species